CCUGGUGUCAUUAGUGAAAAUAAUUCCAGGCAUGAAUGGGGAGAGGGAAGGGUGUCGGGCAGGAAGUCCAGUGCCCGUGGGUUGACUGAAUGGGAGAUGAGGAGGUAACACCCAUCAUGUAGGUCAUGUAGAGCAGCCUUAGGACAUCUGAUUCCUUGCCUAAGACUCUUCUUUCCUGGUGUAGCUUUGUUCUAGAAAGGUCUGGAAGACUUGUCACAGUUCCGAUGCAGGAUGAGCCUUUGGUCCUGAUCUCUUGGAGGCCCAGACAGCCUGGGAAACCAGCAGAGCUUUGGACAAGUUAAGCAGCCCAUUGAAAUCAACAUUCUUGAUAAUCAUAUAUCUAAGAGAUUCCAAAAUGUUCCUGGGAUUCUUUUAUGGGUCCACAUAGGGUUAGAAAGCACAGGGGUCAAACAGGCCUUCUCCCUUGGCCUCCAGGGCCACCAUCCUCUGCUUUUGUCAGUUGGUCUCCCCAGAGUAGAGUCCAGGUUCCUGCUUCCAGCCUUCUGGUAGACCAGGCCCUGCCACAAGUGAGAGUUGGCCGGUUGGGUAUCUGGUUUAGUCACUCGCCUCCACACUUUCACAUCCUCUAUCAACACCUGCACACUUGGGUUGUGACCACACAUGCUCUUCCUGUUUGUACAGAAAGUGCCAUUCAGAAAGCUCGCCAGCGAGAAGAGAGCUCCACGCUCAGCCUCAGAAGAAAGACGUUCAACGACUUACUGGGGAGAGAAAGAAAAGGAACGGGAGCUGAGAGAAAGUUUCACACAUAUGAUUUAGACCUUACGAUCAGCCAUUGUUUACAUCGGGAAGCAUCAAUCCGGAGUAACUGGCAAGCAGCUGAUCACCUGCCUUUCCAGACCGGAGACGGGCGGCAAGUUUGAAGUCGACACCCGGAGGCCAGUUUGUCCCCCUUCCCGGUGAGAAAUAAAAAGAAAGGAGGUUGGUUUCCAGGGCUGGCCAGCUAGAGGGUGGGUGGGACCACCACUGGAGGCCAAACCGCAACGGAGAGCAGGUCCGGGUGGAAGAGGUUUCCUCCGCGCCGCCGCUUUAUUUCGCUGAACUUGCGGGCUCCAGAGACCUUAAACGGUUUGUUUGGGGCGCUGCUGCGGGCGGCAGAGCUCACUCUCCCCGCGCCUGGGCGGCCGGGGAAUUCCCCCGCACCCACCCGGGUCCGCCGCCCGCGGGAGCGCCCAGCAGGGUCAAGUGGAUUCUGGGCCGCGGGAGAAGUGCGUGCAGCCCGGGCGGGGCCGGGCGCGGGCGGGCGGCCGAGGGAUGCGACAGGGCCGGGCACGGCUCCGCAUCCCCCCGCACUCGGCGCCGCCGCCUCGCUGCUCUCUCCCGCUUGCAGGGCCGCCCCGGGCACCCCAGGGCUGCUGAGGGGCGGGCGGGCCGUA
rnacentral:lncRNA from 1 species